GCUUGAAUGGUGGUGAGAAUAGUCAAUGUUCAGGACACCAAAUCUGUCCACAAGGUGGCGUUUGAACAUUUGAUUUUAAUGUUUCUCACACCAGAGAAGCCAACAGUUCUUAGCAACAAAGAUACAUCUUUUAGCAAGUAUAAUGAUUUGCUGAACAUAUACAUAUAUAUGAAGGCUGAUGUAAUGAAAAUGACAUAUUUGUGAGUGGUAAACCACUCAGAUGUUUGGUUCCCCGUCUGGCAUGCCUUAUGCAGAAGGUCUCCUUUUACAAAGCAUCAUUUCCUAAUUUCAGAGAGACAGUACGUUUCUGCUUCAACAUGUAGCCACGGACCCUCUUUCCUGACUGGACUGAAAGCCCUUCAUCGUGUUUAGGAUGCGGCGGACCCGGACUGUGUCAGGACCCCACUGGGUUCGGAAAUGCACCAUGUUUAUGCGAGCAAUGAGCCUGACAGACAUGUCUGGUUUCUCCUUUCCCAACGUGAUGCAGUUGGCCUUGCCGGCUCGGAGCACAGAUAAUCUGGACAGUUCCGGGGAGCCCGCCACCCGCUCAGUUGGCACCACUGCCAACUUGAAGGGGAAGAUGAGCAAGAGGUGAGAAACUGCCUGCCCCCAGUUCUUUUGCUUUGUGACUAGUGUUAUCCGGCUCAUACAGACUGAAACUUCAUUGAGUCUUCUGUGGUAACCCAGGGGUUGACCAGAGGGCUGUACAAUAUGAUGUUAAACUUUUACCAUAC
ensembl:lncRNA